GUGAGUAAUGGGAGAGGGUCCCUGGGGCACCUCGGCCAGGACCCCAUCCCUCAGCCUCACCCC
ensembl:miRNA gga-mir-12249 gga-mir-12249